GUGGUUUCCUGACCUGCUGCAGAGUAAAGAAACUCAGCCCGGACAUUGGGCUGAAAGUAGACUAGAAGUCAGAGCAUGGAGGUUUAGAACGCAGGGAAAUAAAAACAUAAAGGCAAAUCGUUUUAAAAAUAUAUUCAAAUCAGGUAUGUUUUUCAAACCACCAACCUCUAGUGGCAUCCAGGGGGAAAAAGUGAAUUUCGAGAAUCUGUGGGUGGAAAAUAGAAUCACAGCAUCUUUGGGAGAGGUUCUUUGGUUCAGUGAGACCCGUUUGCCAUCUGAAUACCGUGGCUUGAAGUACCCCAUAAAAAACGAAAAUCUGGACGUAAUUACUACACCAUCCUACUUGCCAACGGGGCCAGUCCAGGACUUCCACUGAUGGCUUCAGCCCUCACACCCCCAGGCCAGGAGCCAGCAGGACAUCCCAGGCACCACAGCACGAUCCAUCUGGGGUCCACUGGGCCCCAGCAGAGAGCUGACACCUGCUUGCCAUCAUGGAGGAGCCUGCCGUCAAGAGGCGCCUGAAGAUGAUUCAACUCAACACUUCAGUCUAUGAAGAUGUGGCCGGGUGUCUUCCGGUGCAGGAAUAUGUCUCGUAUACACACCACUGUCAUAUCAAGUUCAAGGCCCUCAGGGUGCCUACAAGAAGGCCCACAUGGCUAUUCUGUGCUCUGGGCCAGCCCCUCAGGACUGCCCCUUCCAUGAAGAGAUGGAUUGGGUGCUGCAGAUCAAGAGAUGGAUUGGGUGCACCAGCCCAGCCCACCUCAGGGAGCAGACCCGGCCAUGGGAUCUUGACCACCACAACCAGCUGACCCAGCAAAGAAAAAAAAAGUCAUUAGCAGAAAGAUGGGCCAGAAGAGUGCUCUCCUCAGCAGCAGCAGCAGCAGAGGCACCAGAACCAGAGGUGGAAGAUGGAGACAGAGCAUCAGUUUAAGCUAGAAAUGGAAGUGUUGGAGCUGCCCAUGACCUCCGACUUGAAAGCCCGGCUGGUACCCAGACCAACAAGACAACCGAGAUGGAGAUUAGCCAGGAUGCCUAAGAAACUGGGCCAGAAGUCCAGAGGGGACCAGUCUCCAGACAGAGAACAGCCUCAGAGAGAAACUUCGUCAUCAGCUCCUGGGGUGUCUACAGUGCCCCCUAGAGCACAGGUAAGCCAGUGCGCCAGCUCCAGCCCAGAGCCUGACCCUCAGGUGCCACCUGACUGUUGUUGCCAUGAUUGCCACUGAUAUGGCAGCGAACAGGCGCCUGGCCAGUGAACUGGCCUGGGAAUCAGCUGCCCGGCUGCAGGGCCACUGAGACCAGCACAAUUCCCACAUGGCCGUCCUGGUCCAAAUGGUCCACCUACACCCAGCCCCAGGAGGCAGUAGCCAUUCUUCAGGACAGAAUGGGCUGAGGGUGACAACUAACUGUCUGAACCUACACUGGAACAUUCUCUCUUUUCUUUUUUUCUUAAAAGAUAUAAUUUUUAUUUAUUUUUGGCUGUGUUGGGUCUUCGUUGCUGCACGCGGGCUUUCUCUAGUUGUGGCGAGCGGUGGCUACUCUUUGUUGCGGUGCAUGGGCUUCUCAUUGCAGUGGCUUCUCUUGUUGCCGAGCACAGGCUCUAGGCAUGUGGGCUUCCGUAGUUGUGGCGUGCGGGCUCAGUAGUUGUGACAUGCGUGCUGUAGAGCGUGGGCUCAGUAGUUGUGGCGCAUGGGCUUAGUUGCUCCGCACAUGUGGGAUCUUCCCGGACCGGGGAUCGAACCCAUGUCCUCUGCAUUGGCAGGUGGAUUCUUAUCCACUGUGCCACCAGGGAAGUCCAGAACAUUCUUAAUUGUGUGAUAUUAUGGUAAGCAUUUUGUGUAUGAACUUUUUUAGUCUUUGUAAGCACAGAUACAGCCUAUUUUAGGCCUUAAGGUCUCAAAGCAUCCUUGGUGUCUUAUUUAGGGUGAUAUAGUAAAGAGAGUAGAAUACACAGAUAACUCAUAAUGCUCACCUCCAACUACUAAUCCAUGGGGAUAGGUGUUUUAGUGGAUAUUUUCAAACUCCCUGAAGGGAAGACAGUUACCUGUGAUGCUCUAUCACCAAAUGAUGGUAAA